rnacentral:rRNA from 1 species
AACAACCUACGGGAGGCAGCAGUGGGGAAUAUUGGGCAAUGGGCGCAAGCCUGACCCAGCAACGCCGCGUGAAGGAAGAAGGCUUUCGGGUUGUAAACUUCUUUUCUGAGGGACGAAGAAAGUGACGGUACCUCAGGAAUAAGCCACGGCUAACUACGUGCCAGCAGCCGCGGUAAUACGGAGGAUGCGAGCGUUAUCCGGAUUUAUUGGGUUUAAAGGGUGCGUAGGCGGGCUGCCAAGUCAGCGGUAAAAUUGCGGGGCUCAACCCCGUCGAGCCGUUGAAACUGGCGG